GGAGGGAGCGAGCGUUGUUCGGAAUUACUGGGCGUAAAGGGCGCGUAGGCGGUCUGGCAAGUCCCGCGUGAAAUCCCCCGGCUCAACCGGGGAAUGGCGCGGGAAACUGCCAGUCUUGAGUUCGGGAGAGGGAAGCGGAAUUCCGGGUGUAGCGGUGAAAUGCGCAGAUAUCCGGAGGAACAUCGGUGGCGAAGGCGGCUUCCUGGACCGACACUGACGCUGAGGCGCGAAAGCUAGGGGAGCAAACGGGAUUAGAUACCCCGGGUAGUCCUAGCUGUAAACGUUGAGUGCUGGGUGUUGGGGGUAUUGACCCCCUCCAGUGCCGAAGCUAACGCAUUAAGCACUCCGCCUGGGGAGUACGGUCGCAAGGCUG
rnacentral:rRNA from 1 species